rnacentral:rRNA from 1 species
UACGUAGGUGGCAAGCGUUAUCCGGAUUCACUGGGCGUAAAGGGAGCGCAGGCGGCAUGGUAAGUCUGAUGUGAAAACCCGGGGCCCAACCCCGGGAGUGCAUUGGAAACUGCCAGGCUGGAGUGUCGGAGGGGUAAGCGGAAUUCCUAGUGUAGCGGUGAAAUGCGUAGAUAUUAGGAGGAACACCAGUGGCGAAGGCGGCUUACUGGACGACUACUGACGCUGAGGCUCGAAAGCGUGGGGAGCAAACAGG